rnacentral:lncRNA from 1 species
ACUCAAUUAUCACUAAGCAGGAUUAGCUCAAAUACACCUACCCCCUAAUCUCCUUCACUGUCGUGACCGUAUCCAUGAGCUAAAUGGAGUAUACAUUCUGAUUUACACUUAAUUCAAAGGGUCUUAAUUUCUGGGAAUUAUGUAUUCAUUUUUCAAAGAAGAAAAACAAAGAUAUUAGAACAGAGCAUGCAAAGUAAAUAGCAGCAGGUUCUGUUGCAUCUUACAACAUUAGUAACUCAACAUUAAUAACUAACAUAAUCUACCUAUAGAAACAUUUCAACAUAGAAAUUAUAAUAGACGCCACAACAUCCGCGUCUGAAUGAGGAUCCAAACAAUAGCAACCAAUUAGGUGAAGCAACCGAAAUUUCAUGUUCAACCGGAUACAAAGAUUACAAACAUAAGAAAACAUACCUGAUUCGAACCGAAACUGCCACGAAUUGAAUUGUUGACUUUGAUUAAUAAGAAUUCCAAUAGUUACAAAGGCGUCAAUAAACCACAGCCCAUCCAAAACAGCAAUAAGAAUCGUCUGAAGCUGUGAACCACCAUUCCGAACCUCGACGAGCAAUGACAACCCACUACCUCGAACCAAACCUCAAAAAACCUGUCGAAACUGUGACAAAACUCAACAAUAGACUUGUUGCAAACUCAGACCACUCCAACAAACUCCAUUUGGAAGAGCGAAAAUUUGUACCUGGAAAAAGCGAAACAACAAAUCUUUAUGUGUUCUGUUUUUUAUGCUUUGUGAGUUUGGUUUUGAAUGUUAAAAUAGUAGAAGAAACUGAUUUUGCUUGGAGCCUAAGACAGAAAGGAGAUGGGAGUUGUUGCUUCCUCUAUUUCCGGCAUCUCCCUCUUAGGUGUUCUCUUUUUCAUCUUCUCACUUCAUGGACCGCCAAUCAUGGUGGUUACUGGACUUCCGGCCAGAUUUGUCACCUGCGAGCCUCAAGGGAAACGUGAAAUGGGCUAGCGAUUGCUCUCAAAUGAAAGGGAGAGGGCGCUGAUGUCCAGGAGAGGAUCAAGACUCUGAUUUUCACAAAAUGAAAUGAGAUAUGGGUGUGCUCUCUGUUUUCCAGGUGUGUGUUUUUGUGAAGGAGCAGCCAAAGCUGCGCAACUUCUUCAAUUUUCCAGCGUCUCUGCCUGUGUUUUUUCGUGUAUCUAUAUGUGUAUUAUGUGUGUGUUUUUUUGUGAAGCAGCCUCCAGCCCCUCAAUUUUCAGCCCCUCUCUUGUCCCAGGCGUCUCUGCCUA